rnacentral:rRNA from 1 species
AACGAACGCUGGCGGCAGGCUUAACACAUGCAAGUCGAGCGCCCCGCAAGGGGAGCGGCAGACGGGUGAGUAACGCGUGGGAACGUGCCCUUUGGUUCGGAACAACUCCGGGAAACUGGAGCUAAUACCGGAUAAGCCCUUCGGGGGAAAGAUUUAUCGCCAAAGGAUCGGCCCGCGUCUGAUUAGCUAGUUGGUGAGGUAAUGGCUCACCAAGGCGACGAUCAGUAGCUGGUCUGAGAGGAUGAUCAGCCACACUGGGACUGAGACACGGCCCAGACUCCUACGGGAGGCAGCAGUGGGGAAUAUUGGACAAUGGGCGCAAGCCUGAUCCAGCCAUGCCGCGUGAGUGAUGAAGGCCUUAGGGUUGUACAGCUCUUUUGUCCGGGAAGAUAAUGACUGUACCGGAAGAAUAAGCCCCGGCUAACUUCGUGCCAGCCGCCGCGGUAACAC